UCACCAUAUAAAUGAUUCCACACGCGCGACCGUCACCACGACUACGGAAACGACGCACUGCAAUCUUUCCGGGAGCUCCACUUGGAAGCUGCCAAUUCUACCGCGACGUGCUACAAUUGCAUCUGUACAGGGCACUUCGCGAAAGAGUGCAGGAAGCCAAAACGGGAAUUUGGGUCGUGUUAUGCGUGAUGACAACAAGGGCACCUGGCAAUUGAGGUAAAUACAAGAAGAAGGCCACGGAUAAAAAGUUUAAUGCCUAAUUGACUCGGGGAGCCCUAUAAGUAUAAUCAAAGAGGUUUUUGUUCCUGGACGAGUGCGUUUGGAUAAAGUUAUGAAUUCUUAUUUUGGAUUAAACAAAUCUACAUUAAAAGUAAUUGGAAAAAUGUAUGUUUCGGUUAACGUUUUGAAAAAAAAUUUUAUG